GACAUUUCACCACUUGUUGAUUUGUUGCUUCAACAUGUUGCUAGUUCUUGUGUGUAUUUUUAAUUGCAAUAUUUAACUGUUAAUAAUUUAAUUUUAUUUUGUGUUUUGUGUUCAAAGAGUGAGGUUGCAUUUCUGCUUCUAAUUAUAAUUAAAAUUCAAAUAAUGAAAUUUUCAUUGGCUCAAACAAAUCAUGUUCUCUGAUUAUUCACAUUUCAUACAAGAAACUUAAAUAUUUAUUUGAGUCCCAUAGCUGUGUUCUUUAAUUUGCAUUUCACUUGGUGAUAACAAAAAAAAAAUCGUUUCUGUUGCCUAGUGUCUUGAAAAUUAAAUUGCAAUACUGCAAUUAUUCGAAAAAAAAAAACAAUAUUGAAGAAUAUUGUUCAAACCACAUAAAUUGCAAACUCAGCAAUUCUUAUGGGUCAUUGGGCUGGAAUUUCAUUUAAAUUUGCAUACAUAGUCUAGAAUAAUUCCAUGGAAUUGAUAUCUCGGUUGGAUUUCAAAUUUUCAUGUAUUCAUUUUAUUAUAUUCGAUGUAAUAGUACGAAUUGGAUGUGGUUGAUGUGGCUCAAAGAUUCAGACAAAAGGAAAAGAAGUUAUCACCAUCUAAAUUUAUAUGGCACCGACACGGUUCUAAAACAUGAAAGUGAAUUCAAGAUGAAAUUACAAGAAACAAGAUGCUAGUGAUUCGAUAAUGAAGACUUCAAAGAAAUUAAAAGUUACCAAUGGGAAACGGCUUUAUAGGAAAAAAAAAACUCAAAGUGGUCAUCAUCUGUACACAGGGCUGAAAAUGAGACCAAUAUGGGAAAACAUCAAAGCCACACAUGUUCCGUAUAUCAAAUAAGGCUAAUAGUUUCAAAUUUCGAGAAAUUUUAGUUGAAGAUUUUAUGGGCCAUCAUGUAUGUAUAUAAAUGGUACUAGCGCAAAGCUAAAGUGAGCCUAAUUUAAAGAAACUCACAUGACACUAGUUAACACUAGUUUUUAACUUUAAUAGCCUGUUGGUCUAUAAAAGAGAAUAACUCUUCAGUUUUUAUGAUUGCUAUGGAUGCAGAAUUUCACCCUAUGUAUAGCAGAUUCAAAAUCACCCUGUUGGCUUUAUUUUUCAAUCGCAUUUAAAGUGCAAGAAUAAAAAAGGAAAGUUUAUAUUGAUUCAAUUUAGUCAUUUGACAAGGUAUUUUUAAAUGCUGAAUCUAUCCCGAUUCGAUCUCCAUUAAAAUAAUCCUUUUUACAAGAAGGUGAAUAUUUUGUCAAUCCAACGAGUAAAAUAUAAGGAAAACCCUUUUAAAAUGUAUGGUGUGCUAAUAAAAUAUGGUAAAAUUACAUAUAAAAAUCAAGCUCACACAAAAUCUGCAGAAUAUGGAUAAAAUACAUAUAAACUCAUUCUUACAUUAAAUAAAAGAUCGUAAGUUCUAAUUAUAAUUAUAAGCCAACACAUAUAUAAAUAAGUACUAAAAUAGUUAUUAAUUAUAAAUAUUUAGUAUGUAUUAAUCUGUAGUGUUUGAAGAGAUACAUUCUUACUCAAAAAAUUAAAUUAGUUUUUCUAAUCAACAUAUUAAAAAGACUAUACAAACAUUCAAAACAAACUUUUAAAGUUAUCAGAGAAAAUAAUUAAAAUCAUGAUAUUGAUUUUAUUUUUAGAAUAUGUUACACAAAAAAAUGCCCAAAAAAUAUAUUAGAUCAAGUAUUAAAUUCCCUUUCCCACAAACACUACAGAUUUUAUUUAAAUUUAUGAUAAAUGAUAAAAUUUUUUUGAGAAAUCAAAAUCAUAAAUGAAAUUAUUACAAUUUUUGUAAUUUUUUAAAAGACAAGUAUGUGUCAUUAUGGCAAAAAAAAAAUGUAUAUUAAUCAUGAACUCAGGUAGUAAGACAAAUUCAAAUAGGCAAAUUUAAAUUAUAAUUUCCAAAAGAGCAAUAUUCUAAAGUUACUAUCAGACGAUUUGUGAAUAUACACAUAUUUCAUUUGUGUAUACCAUUAAAUAUUUCCUAAUAAAUUCAAACAAAAAUGUCAUUUGUAUCUGUGUAUAAAAUAUACAAAUGAUACACAAAUCGUUUUUUGAUGGCAUCAAUGUUCAUCAAAUUUUUCGGUCAAAUGAUUUGCACGGUUUUUUAAAACAAAAAUACAAACUUUAUUUGUGUAUACAUAAAUCGUCUGAUAUUAGCUUAAUUCCAAUCUAUUUGUUUAAACACUAACUUCAUCAUUAAUUUAUUUUUCAUGAACAUUAUUUGUUAACUCUGAUUUUUAUUUAUCAAAUUAGUGAUAGUUUCCAGUCUUCUUUUGUAUUCUAUUAUCUUUGCUAGUACGUACCUUUUUUAUGCUGACAAAAAAAAAAAAAACAAAACUUGUUUGAUUUUUUAUCGCACUCAUUCUUUAUGCAUUUCGCUGACAUAUUUAUAGAUAGUGCUAUUGCCAUACCUAAAUAAUAUUUUAUUGCAAGGCUCAGCAAUUAUAUACGAAUUUAAAAUAAAACCCGUCAACGACAUCAUCGAAGCAAAUUCCAUGGAAUUGCUUACGAUGUGAAACCACAAGUCAACGACAUCGUUGAUGCUUAUUUAACAAAAAAAUAAGGUGUCAGUUAUUUAUUUGAAUUCAAUGUUGGCUUUAAUUUUCAUUGGACACCAAAUGUGUGUAAUAUACAUAUGUAGUUACUUUAUUGUUGGCAACAUGAGAAUAUCAAGGAAAUCGGACAAUGAACUUUAUAAAUUAAAUAAAUACAAGAUAUUUUAUAUACAUAGGUAUAUGAGGAUUGAAUAAACAAAUGGUCGUGUUUCCACUUUUCAUGUUUUCCAUUUGUUUAGGAAAACUGCAAAACCCCUUAUUUCUUAUAUAAAAUUACCGUUUAAAAACUGAAUUUCAUAAAAACCGUGCAUAUUUGGCAAAUUUUUUUUGUUGCAAUUUAUGAAUAUUUUGUUUAGGUUGAAAUACUGCCUUUUGUUUAUUUACUCCUCAUAUAAUAAAAAUUCGAUAUAUUCUUGCGGCUGAAGAUCAAUUGAAAUUUAUGUGCUGCUGACUAGAGUUUAUUUUUUUUGUCUUUGAAAUGGAAUUCGAAAUCAAUAAAUAUUUUGUUAAUUUAUUUUAAUGCUCAAGUUCUCGUACUAUGACUGGUGAUAAAUUAUGUUUUUUAUUGCAUUCAGAAGGUCUGUUUUUUUUUUUUUGUAACUCUGAUAGUCACACACUCUUUAUUGUCGGCUAUUUAUUUAAGUGGCAUUAAGGCUCAAUAUGUUUACUUUGCCGAUACGUAGGAAAAUAUUGUCUUAUUUCUUUAACUUGAAAUCAGUCUAGAUAGUGGUGAGAUUCUGAGCUCCAAAGUGUGUGUAGCAAAGUAUCUUUUAAGAAGUCGCAUCCAAGCGACAUCACUCUAUAUUCCGUAAACGCAACUAUCGAACAGAGACAAAUCAAUUCCUAGACAAAUGAAAUAUGAUGCUAGCAUAAACAAUUUGAGACCUUUCAUGAGAAUCUUCGUUUGUGGUCUUUCACACCAAAAUGCAAAUCUCAUGUUCGCAAUAUGAUCCUAUGUCGUUGUUUUGUUAUUUGGUUGAUAAUAGUUCGGUUGUCUUUCCUUUGAAAGUGUAAAAUUAAACAUUAAGUCAUAGGGUAUAGAACUAUGUCAUGUGUCUUGGAAGCGAUUCUUGAGAAUUGUGAGUGGUCUUUAAUUUAAGGGCACAAUACUCCUCUUCCCUUAAAAUAUAAAAAAGCGUACAAGGUGACGAUUAAGAUCUUUCGGGUUAAAGUGCGGAUUUCUGGAUUUCAGCUACUCUUACCACUUUAUCUGCCCAGGAAAGAUUUGUAUAACUCUUCCUAAUGGCCAUUUCAUGAUAGGGCAAUUGUCUUCUUUGAUGAUGACUAAGAUUCCAGGAAGCAAAUUUUCAUGUUUGCGCUGCCCUUUAUGCCUUUGUUGAAGUUCAUUGAGGUAUUCAACGUGCCAUCUUUUCCAAAAUUCUUUUUUUAUAUUUGAAAUGACAUUAAAUAGUUUUGAGGGAUUAACUUCCAGUGUGUUUGCAAUUGGAUCAAUUGGAUUGGUCAAUGGUUCCCCUACGAUGAAAUGACCUGGAGUGAGAGCCAUCAAAUCAUUGGGAUUGUCUGACAUAGAAGUGAUAGGUCUGGAGUUCAUAACUUCUUCGAUUACAAUUAUGAUUGUUUCAAGUUCCUCAUAGUGUCAAUGAGUUUCCACCAAGACAGCGAUAUAGAAAAUGUUUUGCUGACUUCACGGCCGCCUCCCAUAACCCUCCAAAAUGAGGUGCUCUUGGAGGAAUAAAGUGAAAUUCUAUUCCGCUUGCGGAAAUAGUAUUUUGGAUCUUUUCUUUAGACGCGUGUGUGUGUUUAUGUUCUAUCAUUUCUUGUAGUUGAUUGUUGGUUUGUUGCAUUGUCACAGGUGUGACAUUAUCAAUAUCCAGGUCCAACUGUAAAGCUAAGUCUUCAGUGAGCAUAUUUCUCAAAAGAUUUUGAUCGUUGGCACUCCAUUUUCGCAAAGUUAAGCUAGUGGUUUUCAAUAAUAAGUUUAACUGCUCUCGCAUCUCUAAGCUUUGUGAUUAACUAUCGGACCCUGCCAUUACAUCAUCAUCAAAAAUUUGUACUUAGGACGUUUGCCCCAAGAGGAUAUUUGUUUGCACUUUCUGAAGCCAACCCUUGUAUACACUUUGUGGCCAAGUAUGGAGAUGAUGUUGUACCGUAUUAUGACUGUUUUGACCUGAUAUGUUUGCAAUUCUUCUGUUGGAUGAUUUCGCCAUAGGAUGGUUUUUGUACUGAUUGUUUAAAUGGUUUUUGUACUGAUUGUUCUAACUUUCUCACUUGCUGGUUAGUGAAAGACAUUUAGUGCGCUUGCAUAUUGGGUUAAUGGUUCCUUGGUGAAUUUAGGUAUUAUGCUACUUAAAUUGAGUUGUGGCUUGUAGGAUGAAUGAUGUGUUAAGACUUGUUGUGUAUGAUUCGUGAGCUGUGAUUACCAACGUAUCCACUUAAGGUUAGCAUUUUGGCCCUUAAGUGAGUACCUAUCCUAUCAUUAAUUAGAGUGACAGUAAAUACUUAUUCCUUAUAUAUUUUAAUUUACUUUUUUUUCGGUUUUGGGCAUUAUUCUUGUAUUGAAUUUUCUGGAUUAAAUGGAUAUAUCCCUGUGGAUUCAAAUCCUAACAUAAUAUUUUUAGAUGUUAAAUUAUUCCUCCAAAUCGGUCUCAGAAGUGCAGAAAAUUCGCUUUUUGGGAGUCGACAGCUAUUGGUGGUGGUAUGAAAGUGUGGUCCUAUUGUUGGUAUAUGCUUGCUCACCACGCUAUAUUGUAAGCAUUCUUGGAAAACUGUUGGACGAAAUUUUAAGUCCAGAUAGGGGUCACUUAAGUUCUUGUUCAAUUUAGAAAAAUGUUUGUUUUUAUGCGCAAAUUAUUUUAAUAACAUUUAUACAUUUGUAAUAAUAUUAUUUUGUUUAUGUUUGUGUACAUAAUUUUUUAAAAUAUUUGUUAAUUUUGUAUGGGUUGUAAAGGAUGGUGAUGAUGGUUGCGGCUGUUGCCACUGAUUCUGGAAUUAUUGGCAUGUUUAAUUGUUUUUGGACAUUGUUGUUACUAACUACUGUUUUGGUUGUUUUUCCAAUAAUGCUGGUUCUUUAGUGCUUUCAUCUUGUUGAUUAGUAUCGUGUUUUGUCAUUGUCUGUAGUGAGUGUUUUCCUCCACGGACUCGGUUUCGUUUUGAUUUUAAUUUCUUUUCUGCUGUUCCUUCCUUGUUUGCCUUAGAUCUUGUUUUUGGUAUUGUUGCCUUUCUUGAUAUUAAAGGAUUGUAAUUGGUUUUGUAGUGACGGACAUUAUUUUUAAAUGGAUUUCUUCUACUAUCCCCUUCUGUACGAGGGAGCUUGAUUUCCGUAAGCUCUGCAAUUGUUUAUAGAGUGUGAUUUUUUAAAAGGCUUAUCCUCAGAAAAACUGCGAAACUGCGUGUAUAACUAAAAUUUUUUUUUGUUUCCUUUUACCUUAAAAGAUAAUUAUUUGUUGUGAUAUUAUUGAUUGUGUUUGUUCGGGAAAUUAUGCUUCCGGAUUGUCCAGGGUAAACUGAAAGUCUUCUUUAAAGUUAAAUAAGUAACCAAUGUUUUUCGAAGCAUCUUUUGAAAUGUUGUUUUUUUUUAAAGAUGACCAGAUCACAGUGUUGCACUAUAACUGAUGUAUACUCACAGUGAAACACUUUGAUUAUGAAGUUAGUUGUAUAGAUUUCCAAAAAGUCUAGGUGAAACAUCAAGAUCUUUGUAAUCGAUGAAGAAUUGAAGAAUCAAAGAGUUAAGUGACCUACGACGUGUGUGAAUAACUCAAUUAGUCUAGUGAACUGUAAUAUUCUAAGUGUCUUUAUUCUUCGUUUAACUUUAUAUUUCUACAAUCUUACAAGUUAAGAAAUUCAAGAUUACCCUAUAAUUACUUAUGAACACUGAAUUUUUCUUAUUUUGCGGAACUUGCAAAUUUGAUUGCUUGCAAGUUCCGCAUUACAUUUUAUUGUUUAUAUUCUUUAUUUAUGUUUGUCUAAACAACGUGGGAGCGACGUCCAAAUGUUUGCCAUAUCAUACCAAUGUUUAUUUGUUCUAAGAACUGUAGAUAGUCGCAAUCUCAUCCGCUGCUGUAUUUAUCUAACAUAACAGUUUUUGUCCAGCAGUCUUUAGUGUCGGUGUAUAUUUAAUUGGCGGGGUUGGGCCUUCGGAAAAGUAUUUUUUGACCUAGUUCUUUUUUAAUUCUUCUAGGUAUUUUCCAAAAUCUCAAAGUCCUUACGAUUAUGUUUGAAAGGGAUCGACGUGACCUAGCUUCGCUAUUUAUUAGUUAUUUUAGUUCUCUACCUAAGAUAAUUGAACAUACUCCCGCCAUUGCCAUCAUUGAAAAUUUGCAAUUUGAUGGUGUUAGGGUUAUGCUGCUCCUCAGGAACCUCGUCAAUGGAAAUUGGUAGAAUUAUUGUGGUAGGAUUCGCAUUUAUGACGAUGCUGUAUGUUGCAAGUGGUGCUUCUUCAUGGUAUAUCAACUGGGUACAAAGAUUUGACAUUAUUCACCAGUAUCUUCAAAACCUGUACAAUGUAUGUACAUCAGACUUUGGGUCAUCUCAUAUUAGAAAAUUUUACGUCGAGGAGGCACAUUGAUGUCUGAUAUUUUUAUGACUUUGUGAAUUGACCUCUUGAUGACCUCACUUCCUGUCGGAGAAGCCUCAUAGCCCUACUGCUUACAUUCAAUGUUUUAAAAGCAUGUUUCCUCUUUACUACUUUUUCCACCUAUCGCCUUUUAAGAUGUUAUAUCUUUUAUUUAUCUAAAAAGGAAACCCGUAGCUAUUCCAAAUAUGGAUUAAAAGACCUUGGUGGUUUUAUAGCAAUAUAAUUGAUUUUUCAAUCUUAAAUUAUUUCAAUCCUUGCGCCAAAAUGUUAUAAGUAACUAUUAAAUGUUAUAAUAGGGGUUUCGCAACUUAUCGUGUCAUUUUAGUCGCAAACCCAACUUCCUCAGUGGAUAAUCGAGUUCUAAAAGGUAAUUUUCAUUGUAUCUCAGUUUUUCUAUUUGUUUGUUGUGAAACUUAGCAUAAUCUUCAUCCAGUGUUUCGAAUAAAGUUUUGCUAACUAUUCCGACAAUAUUCACUAAUGCCCUUUUGCUUCUAGAUUUAGGUUUAGGUUUGGAUUGUAUAAAGCUAAAUUCAACUUAAUAUCUUCCAUCAGUGUUACGACUCUGCCGUACUUCGGUGUGUGUCAUAAUCGAUCGCAGUUUGCAGUUGGAAGGUGUCACAUUACACAAUGCACUUUCAAGAAGCGCAUUGUUUUGUUUACGUUGUGUAGACUUACUUGUACAAUGUUUUGUUUUUUCAUGGAAUCAAUGUGAUAAUAUUUUUCAAGUAAACUUCGGAAAUAUUCAAAGCAGGAAUAAAUGAAUUAUAGACAUAAGUUGAAUUCUCGUUUUUAGAUCGUAUAGUCAGAUCUUUUGACCUUAGGAAACAAUUACCUGUAAGUUAUAGGAUAGAUGUUCCUUCUAAAGAGUGAGUUAUGACUCUGUCUUGGCAUAUUUCGUCUAUGAUAUAUUUCCCUAAAGAAGAAAAUAACGAUGUACUGGGCUGUGAUACUUGUAUGAAAACUGUUGAAAUGGAUGGUUUCUUAUAGUAAUGUUUAUGUUUUUAUUUUAUUUCUGUGUUUGAGUGUGUGUGUUUUUGUAUUCAUUUAUUAAAACAUAUUAUGUGUAUUUUUUUUUAUUAAAUAUUCAUAAUUCUCUACUUUUCGUUACUUUGGUAAUACAACUUUUGAAUAAGGUGGAAAAGAGUAAUACGAGUGUUUUCUUUUCCAAGGAUUUGGUUCAUCUGAAUAUCUUCUUCGAUAUGUCGGACAUAUAGAGAGAUCAAAAUUCUCCUUUUCUAUUCCGAAGCAAAUAUUAUCCCCGAACUUGACAUCCAAGACACGCUGAUGGGCUACUUUUUUUCCGUUGAUGUAUGUACCUUUUGAAUUUUCUAAAUCGGUAAUCCAUAUAUUGGUAUCAUCUGGACUUAUUUCUAUCAUAGCGUUAAUGUUUGACACAAGCUCAGUUGGAAUACAUAGCUUGUUGGAGUUGUCGCUGCCGAUCUCGGUUAUACCUUUUCUAAGUGGAAUCUCCACAUUAGUCACUGUGUUGUAAAGCAACCAAUAGGAAUCUGGCUGGUAGUCGAUGGAUUCCAUCUUUAGAUGAAAUCCAGUACAAAUCGAGUCGUGCUUGAGUUAGGCUAGUACCAACCUGGUGUACUGGGUGCUUCUUCAUUUUUUAGAAGUACUAGGUUCCAGAAUUGGAAUACCAGGUUCUAAAAUUAGUGACGUCUGCUACCUCAGACUGUAGUUUAUAGUGACGUCUGCUAUCUCAGACUAUAAUCUAUAGUGACGUCUGCUAUCUCAGACAGUAAUCUAUGGUGACGACUGCUAUCUCAGACUGUAAUCUAUAGUGACAUUUCCUAUCUCAGACUGUAAUUUAUAGUGGACAUUGCUAAUGCUAACUCAGCCAAACUAGAAUUAAAUUUAUGAAAUUGAAUUGAAAUGAAUUAUUGUAAAACAUCGAGGUUAAAUUUUGUUUCUUUAUCCUUUAGUUCCUCUAAUUUCCGUUGUUUUUCUAGAAGAAAAAAUUUGUUUAUCAAGCCCAGAAAUUGUUUCUUCGGCUUGUUUAUUGAUACUUUCUGCCUCUUGCUGAUUUACCUUGUAUUUUGCUCGCGUUUUGUUAAGGCAAUUGUUUUUAUUUCCUUUUUGAGCUCAAGGAUUUGGCUUUCCCGUUCUUUCCGUUGGUUCCUUACUGAGUCUAUAUAUAUUGUUAGGAUGGCGUCAGUGGUUUCUAGUCUAGUGAAUUGACCCCACUGUACACUGAGUGAGUUAAAAUUUAACUCAUAAACUUCUCUACCAACUAGUGAUUUUAAUUCAGCUAGUAACGUAGUGUUGAAGUUAGUUAUCUCUUGUGCUUGCUACUCCCUUUCUUUUUCCAAUUGUUUAUUUAAAUCAAGAAUUCUUUCUAGGUCUAAACUAGACUGUUCAGCCAUAAAAUGAAAAUUGACACAAACAGAGUGAAUUCUCAACUAGAUAUAAAUAAACAAUUGAAAACGACUUAAAAUAAAAAUAGAGUGAAACAAAUCGAAAAUGAUAAACUGCAAAUCUGUAAAAAUAGAGUAAAUCCUGAAAUAAAACCAAUUGAAAACAGCAUUAUAGGAUAAUAACCAGAAAAAUUUAUCAGAAGAAAUAGACCUAAGACUACAAUUGUAUCAAUAAAAAAAAAACAUUUUUUUUUUUAAUUUAUUAUUGUUUUUUUAUUUUUUUUUUACAACAUAUUAUAAUUUUUUUUUUUAAAUUGAAGAUAACUUCUUUUUCUCAGUUUUUUCCUUCCUCUUAAGGAAUUCCUGAGUUUUCAAUGUUUUAGCUUCUUGUAGCAGGCGUUUCUUUUCUUCUCCUCUGCAAAGUCCCGCCAGCUGGUACAGUCUACCUAGUUCCUGGCGGACCCAGACCUGGUGUCCUCCUCUUUUUUUCUUGUUGUCGUAUCCUCCAAAUGGGACCUUGGGAGGAUUACUUCUUGGUUUUGGCAAUUCUUCUACCUUUUAAUGUCUCCUACGGUAUUCCUCUAAUGUAAUCGGUUUUGGUCCAGCUUUGGGUUCCUUUUCGAUGUGGUUGGUAAGUUGCAAAUUUUUACAUUCCAUUAUCUGUGUGGAAAUGCAUUUCCUCCUGCCUUUUAAAUAUAGUAUCCCUAUUGUUCUCUACUACCCAGCUGUUAGGCACACUGGAGGUCAGUUAAUUUGAGGCGACUAGGCCUACUAGAAUGGAGAAAAUAAAAAAGAU